UGCCUACUAGCCCUCCCGUUUGAAAAUACUUAUCAUCAAAAUGGAUAAAAAUGGAUGUAUGUAGAACUAAAAUAUAUCUAGAUACAUCUUCUUUUAUUCAUUUUGAUGACAAGUAUUUUCGGACCGAGGGAGUAGUAG
rfam:Triticum aestivum genome assembly, contig: Triticum_aestivum_CS42_TGACv1_scaffold_131594_2BL